AACGUAGGAGACAAACGUUAUCCGGAGUUACUGGGCGUAAAGGGCGUGUAGGUGGUUUCGUAAGUCUGGCGUGAAAUUUCUCGGCUUAACCGAGGCAGGUCGUCGGAUACUGCGGAACUUGAGGACGGUAGAGGCGUGUGGAAUUCCGGGUGUAGUGGUGAAAUGCGUAGAGAUCCGGAGGAACACCAGUGGCGAAGGCGACACGCUGGGCCGUACCUGACACUGAUGCGCGACGAGCAUGGGAGCAACAGGAGUUAGA
rnacentral:rRNA from 1 species